UACGUAGGUCCCGAGCGUUGUCCGGAUUUAUUGGGCGUAAAGCGAGCGCAGGUGGUUUAUUAAGUCUGGUGUAAAAGGCAGUGGCUCAACCAUUGUAUGCAUUGGAAACUGGUAGACUUGAGUGCAGGAGAGGAGAGUGGAAUUCCAUGUGUAGCGGUGAAAUGCGUAGAUAUAUGGAGGAACACCGGUGGCGAAAGCGGCUCUCUGGCCUGUAACUGACAUUGAGGCUCGAAAGCGUGGGGAGCAAACAGG
rnacentral:rRNA from 1 species